UUUCCGUAGGUGAACCUGCGGAAGGAUCAUUACUGAGUGAGGGCCCCUCGGGGUCCAACCUCCCACCCGUGUUUAACGAACCUUUGUUGCUUCGGCGGGCCCGCCUCACGGCCGCCGGGGGGCUCCUGCCCCCGGGCCCGCGCCCGCCGAAGCCCCCCCUUGAACGCUGUCUGAAGUUUGCAGUCUGAGAAACUAGCUAAAUUAGUUAAAACUUUCAACAACGGAUCUCUUGGUUCCGGCAUCGAUGAAGAACGCAGC
rnacentral:misc_RNA from 1 species